CUACGUCACCAUGACCGAUAACUGCUCCUCCUUCCAUGUAUCUUCUUUAGGGACUGUCCAAUGUAUAUGUUUACAAAGAUCAUUACACAAUGGCAAUUGAAGUCCACCUUCUCUUUUCAUAUUGACCGAGUGGUUCUUCUUCCCUGGUUUGUUCUAAUCUGCUGUAACAAUCUAUUACCUUAAAUCAAUGGGGUUACUCCCUUUAAAAUAUUAUUAUGCAC